UAAAGUGUCCAAUUUGUUUUUUCAUAUUUAAAUCUUCUUCAUCUUUCCCAUUCACCUAUUACAGGCCAUUCACUUGAUGUUUGACAUGGAAUUCAGCACCAUGUUCUGCAUUUAUGCUUCUUUUCUCUUCAUAGUUCUUUUCAAGUCAUUGCUCACGUCAUUCUCUUCCAAACACUAGAAAUAGCCACUCCCUCCCGGUUCCAUUGGUUGGUCUUUACAUUAGAGAAACCUUUCAUAUGUGUUCCCAAAUAAAAAGGAAAAUGUUUGGGUUUCGAGAAUACAUUUGAAAGGUUUCUCCUAUGUAAGGUCGACCUAUGGAAUCAGGUGGGAACAGCUACUCCAAGGUUUGUAGGGGAAGGAUUAAAGCAGUUACUUGAACAGAACAAUGAAGAGAAAAGGAGCAAACAAGCAAAACAUGGUGCUUAGUUCCAUUUCAAUAUUUAAUGUUAGUGGCUUGUGAUAGGUGAAUAGGGAAGAGGAUGAAGCAAAAUUGAUGAUCAGUAAAGUAAAGCUAUCAAAAUUUCCCUUGUGUAGCAGCAAAAGGCUCCACUUUCUUAAUGCAGGAAGAUUCAUAAUGUGGAUGAGAGAAAACCUCAUCUACUUAAGGGUAUUAAUCAGCUCAAAUAUCUUACUUUCAUGACAACUUGAUCAUUUAUUACUUGCUUCAAACUUCGGUUAUUCUGUUUCCUACUUUCAUUUAUCAUAAAAGUAAUAGCCCUUUUGUAUAGUUCAUACUUUGUGAAAUUGUGAUACAGCAGCCUUUGCCCUGCAAGAACAGGUGAAUAUACCAUUGUGCAAGCACUGCCAUCUCGCUGAAGAGCUUUUCCACUCAGUAGUGUGAAUCUAAUAGACGUGAUUUCUCGUUCAAGGUCACCCUCAUUAGAAAAAUCUGUUAAAUUGUUGGUAGUAAUAAUCUUAAUGGCAGAUUUAUAUGAUUCAUUUGA